rnacentral:tRNA from 1 species
AAUCCCCCUACGGUGGUGGUAUUGCGUCGGUUCGAUUCCGACUCGCGAAAGAAUGGGCGAUAUCAUCGGUGGUUCAAAGCCACCGGGGGAUUU